rnacentral:rRNA from 1 species
GGGCGUAAAGCGCAUGCAGGUGGUUUGUUAAGUCAGAUGUGAAAGCCCCGGGGCUCAACCCUCGGAAUUGCAUUUGAAACUGGCAGACUAGAGUACUGUAGAGGGGGGUAGAAUCUCAGGUGUAGCGGUGAAAUGCGUAGAGAUCUGAAGGAAUACCGGUGGCGAAGGCGGCCCCCUGGACAGAUACUGACACUCAGAUGCGAAAGCGUGGGGAGCAAACAGGAUUAGAUACCCUGGUAGUCCACGCCGUAAACGAUGUCUACUUGGAGGUUGUGGCCUUGAGCCGUGGCUUUCGGAGCUAACGCGUUAAGUAGACCGCCUGGGGAGUACGGUCGCAAGAUUAAAACUCAAAUGAAUUGACGGGGGCCCGCACAAGCGGUGGAGCAUGUGGUUUAAUUCGAUGCAACGCGAAGAACCUUACCUACUCUUGACAUCCAGAGAACUUUCCAGAGAUGGAUUGGUGCCUUCGGGAACUCUGAGACAGGUGCUGCAUGGCUGUCGUCAGCUCGUGUUGUGAAAUGUUGGGUUAAGUCCCGCAACGAGCGCAACCCUUAUCCUUGUUUGCCAGCACUUCGGGUGGGAACUCCAGGGAGACUGCCGGUGAUAAACCGGAGGAAGGUGGGGACGACGUCAAGUCAUCAUGGCCCUUACGAGUAGGGCUACACACGUGCUACAAUGGCGCAUACAGAGGGCGGCCAACUUGCGAAAGUGAGCGAAUCCCAAAAAGUGCGUCGUAGUCCGGAUCGGAGUCUGCAACUCGACUCCGUGAAGUCGGAAUCGCUAGUAAUCGUGGAUCAGAAUGCCACGGUGAAUACGUUCCCGGGCCUUGUACACACCGCCCGUCCCACCAUGGGAGUGGGCUGCAAAAGAAGUGGGUAGUUUAACCUUCGGGAGGACGC